rnacentral:rRNA from 1 species
GAUGAACGCUGGCGGCGUGCCUAAUACAUGCAAGUCGAACGGAAGGUAGCAAUACCUUUAGUGGCGAACGGGUGAGUAACGCGUUGGUGACCUGCCCCGAAGCGUGGGAUAACAGUCCGAAAGGAUUGCUAAUACCGCAUGUGGUCCAAGAGAUUAGAGGCUUAUGGACUAAAGGAGACAUUCACUUCGGGAGGGGCCUGCGUCCCAUCAGCUAGUUGGUAAGGUAAUGGCUUACCAAGGCGAUGACGGGUAGGGGACCUGAGAGGGUGGCCCCCCACAAUGGAACUGAAACACGGUCCAUACACCUACGGGUGGCAGCAGUAGGGAAUAUUAGUAAUGGGCGAAAGCCUGAACUAGCAACGCCGCGUGUGCGAAGAAGGCCUUCGGGUCGUAAAGCACUUUUUGAGAGGAUGAGGAAGGACGGUACUCUCAGAAUAAGUCUCGGCUAACUACGUG